UACGUAGGGGGCUAGCGUUGUCCGGAAUCAUUGGGCGUAAAGAGCGUGUAGGCGGCCCGGUAAGUCCGCUGUAAAAGUCAAAGGCUCAACCUUUUGAAUGUCAGUGGAUACUGCCGGGCUAGAGUCCGGAAGAGGCGAGUGGAACUCCUGGUGUAGCGGUGGAAUGCGCAGAUAUCAGGAAGAACACCAACGGCGAAGGCAGCUCGCUGGGACGGUACUGACGCUGAGACGCGAAAGCGUGGGGAGCGAACAGG
rnacentral:rRNA from 1 species